GUACAAAGGUAGCAUNAUCNUUAGUUUUUUAAUUGAGAACUYGUUUGAAUGGUUGAAUGAGAAAUAAACUUUUUUAAUAAGAAUAUAGAAUUUUACAUUUUAAUUAAAAGGUUAAAAUGAUUUUAAAAGACGAGAAGACCCUAUAGAGUUUUAUAAUUUAUAUUUAAAUUUUUAAAAAAAAUUAAUAGAUAUUUUUAUUUAAAUAAAUUAUUUUAUUGGGGUGAUAAUAAAAUUUAAUUAACUUUUAUUUUUUUUUACAUUWAUAUAUGGAGAAUUGAUCCAUUACUAAUGAUUAAAAAAUUAAAUUACCUUAGGGAUAACAGCGUAA
rnacentral:rRNA from 1 species